rnacentral:rRNA from 1 species
GUCCUUUAGUUAUAAAUUUAAGGUCUAGCCUGCCCAAUGAUAAAUUGAAUGGCCGCAGUAUUUUGACUGUGCUAAGGUAGCAUAAUCAUUAGUUUUUUAAUUGAAAGCUGGAAUGAAGGGUUGGAUGAAAAAAAAUCUGUCUCUAUUUAAUUUUUAUAGAAUUUUAUUUUUAAGUUAAAAAGCUUAAAUAUUUUUAAAAGACGAGAAGACCCUAUAGAGUUUUAUAUUUAUAUUUUAUUUUUUAUUAAGAAUUAAUUAUUAAAAAUUAAAGUAAAAUAUUUGAUUGGGGUGAUUAAAAAAUUUAUUAAACUUUUUUUAUAUAAAAAUAUUUAUAAAUAAGUAUUUGAUCCAAAAGUAUUGAUUAAAAGAUAAAAUUACCUUAGGGAUAACAGCGUAAUUUUAUUAGAGAGUUCAUAUCGAUAAUAAAGAUUGCGACCUCGAUGUUGGAUUAAAAUUUAUAAUUGGUGUAGAAGCUAUAUUAUUAAGUCUGUUCGACUUUUAAAAUUUUACA